rnacentral:tRNA from 1 species
GGGCAUUUGAUCUAGUGGUAUGGUUCUCGUUUCGGGUGCAAGAGGUCCGAAGUUCAAUUCUCAGAAUGCCCC